UAGACUCGGUAGAGGAGUGAUCCGUGGAC
rnacentral:sRNA from 1 species